rnacentral:rRNA from 1 species
GACGAACGCUGGCGGCGUGCUUAACACAUGCAAGUCGAGCGGUAAGGCCCUUUCGGGGGUACACGAGCGGCGAACGGGUGAGUAACACGUGGGUGACCUGCCCUCAGCUCUGGGAUAAGCCUGGGAAACCGGGUCUAAUACUGGAUAUGACUCCAUGACGCAUGUUGUGGGGUGGAAAGCCUUGUGCGGCUGAGGAUGGGCCCGCGGCCUAUCAGCUUGUUGGUGGGGUGAUGGCCUACCAAGGCGACGACGGGUAGCCGGCCUGAGAGGGCGACCGGCCACACUGGGACUGAGACACGGCCCAGACUCCUACGGGAGGCAGCAGUGGGGAAUCUUGCGCAAUGGGCGAAAGCCUGACGCAGCGACGCCGCGUGAGGGAUGAUGGCCUGG